UCAAAUCUACCUGCCGUUUACAAAUGAUAGAAUUUUCAGAAAUUUCAAAAACAAACAAAAAAAAAAAGUAAAGGAAUUUACUACAAGAAUGCAAGAAAACAGACUACGAUUACAAUCACAUCUUUCAUCAAAUAAAUAAAAUAGAAAAAUAAGAAAAAAAAACUUUUUAAAUGAAGACGUAUGCUACUUGCUGAACUCUGGGAUUGUUUCAGUGUUGCGUUGAAUUUUUUAUGAAUUACAUUAUUGUUCUUGUUGGUUGAACUUACGCCAAAAUGUCUUUACAUUUUCGUUUCUGUAAAAGCAACAUAAUUAUGUCAUUGUCUUGCACACUGACAAUGGACUUGGAUAUUUUCUCAGGAAGAUUAGAGGUCCAGAGUUCCAGUUUCACUGUUAUGAUGUUGAUUAUCAUGAGAAAUUAACAAAUCAUUUUAUGAAAAGAGGACAAAAGAUGUUGAUAGAAAUCCAGCUCGAAGCACUGAAGGUUAUGGAUUUAAAAAAAUGUCUUUUUGAAUUUUAAUUCGUAGCAGACACACAUUUACCAAAUAUUAGAUUUGUAAUGAACCUAUGCGUUAUAUUUCUUGAAGUGGAGUGCUUUCCAUUUAAAAUGUUUGUAUCUAUCGCUUUACGUAAUACGUACCAAUACAGUUUUGUUUAUUGGUUAGGUUGUGGAAAGACCUAGCACUGUUUGAUUUGACCUUGCUUGAUGUUUCUCAACGAGGUCCAGUAAAAGAUAUUGAUAUUCCAUCCUCUUGUCUUUUCUUGUUUUAGAAAUUAAGUAGAGGCCUGUAUCCAAAGGCCUGAUAAUUGUAGAUCAACACAUAGAACUUGAACUCCUACCAUUUUCUUACUAGUUUUUAGAGUGUGGGUUGAAAAUACUCCAUCUAGGUUUAAGGCUAAAUGAUGAGGAAUUAAAAUGUUGUGAAAGGAUUAAGAAUCUAUGCACAGAGGUUUGAGGGGAUAGUAUGUCCGGUCAUGCUAUUCUCACAAGGAUCUUUUUGGUGGGGUGGGGGGUUCAUACGCUUGUUACAAGUUUUCUUUGUACGAGUUCUGAUUUGAAUGAGCAGAUUUUAUUUGUUUAAAAGGAAUGAUGGGUUGUGCAGGGUUUUGUGAGAGGGAAUUUAAUUGUUUCUCUUUAUUGUUCAGAUAUUAAGAACAUGACUGUACUGAGAUUUAACAAUGUUGCUGGCUUUUAAAUGUGUUUUCCUUACCCUUAAUAGAAUGUGAUCGUUGAGGACUUGCACCGAAAAAGUCUUUCCAUGUGGUAUGGAGAUUAUUUCAGCCUAUAUUAAUAAACAGCAUUUUUUUCUCUUAAA